rnacentral:rRNA from 1 species
CCCUUUGUGAACAUACCUAUAACUGUUGCUUCGGCGGGUAGGGUCUCCGUGACCCUCCCGGCCUCCCGCCCCCCCGGGCGGGUCGGCGCCCGCCGGAGGAUAACCAAACUCUGAUUUAACGACGUUUCUUCUGAGUGGUACAAGCAAAUAAUCAAAACUUUUAACAACGGAUCUCUUGGUUCUGGCAUCGAUGAAGAACGCAGCGAAAUGCGAUAAGUAAUGUGAAUUGCAGAAUUCAGUGAAUCAUCGAAUCUUUGAACGCACAUUGCGCCCGCCAGCAUUCUGGCGGGCAUGCCUGUUCGAGCGUCAUUUCAACCCUCAAGCUCUGCUUGGUGUUGGGGCCCUACAGCCGAUGUAGGCCCUCAAAGGUAGUGGCGGACCCUCCCGGAGCCUCCUUUGCGUAGUAACUUUACGUCUCGCACUGGGAUCCGGAGGGACUCUUGCCGUAAAACCCCCCAAUUUUCCAAAGGUUGACCUCGGAUCAGGUAGGAAUACCCGCUGAACUUAAGCAUA